GACUGGCAGCCUCCAAAAGGACGUCUUCAGGCUCCUUAAUGAAGAGGCAGGACUGGAGCUGCCUCUGCUCCACGGGCCGCUUUCACCAAGAUGGGCCAUGUCAUCUGCAGAGAGUCAGUGGUCGGCCACGUCUUUCUUCCUCAGAGAGCCCUCCCUUGGCAACUCCAUCUACAGAAGGCCCCUGUCCUCCUCAUCACAGUGCUCUGUUUUGUUGCCUUUGGUUGUACUUUACCAAAACCGGAAAUUGUUUAUUUACCUUUUGUUUAUCACCAGUUCCUGGUGACUGGGAGGUGCUGCUCAGGUCACAGGCUUGGUUUGACAUUGUUCCAGGAAAAACUUUUGUUUGUGCCUAAUAAUUAGGCAGACUUUCAGGUGAAACAAUUAUUAUUUUUUUAUUUGCUACCUCUCACCACCACUUGUCCCAGAAACGGAGGAGGAAGCCACAUUUAACUUAUCAAAACAAUAUUGUUAACCAUCUCAGGUCUUUUAUUAGUUUGGUCACAAGUAAUCGUCGAAAGUACUGUCUUGUUUCCGGGGAGCCCAAAUGCGAGGCCCUCAACCCCAGUGCCUUCUGGAAGAUGCACUUCAUGAGAGCCGGUGGCUCCUCUGUCUUGUUCCCCAUCGUAUUUUCCACAGCUUGAGCAAGGCCUGACAUGGAGGAUCUACCCCAUGAACGCCAUCAAAUGAAGGAAUGAACGGCAGACAGUGAGAGUGCGGGCAUGUGUCUCAGCGGACAAGCCUGCCUGAAGCCCUGCAGUGAGAGCCUUUUGGGAUAGCUAGAAGGGUGGGUGAGAGCGUAGGAAACACUGCAGGAGAGAGCUCUAAGUACUCUGUAGUGUUUCCUGUUCCCUGGGGACGCAGGUUGAUGCACCCCCCAGAUUCAGCUCUCCUCCCGGGAUCCUGGCAGUUAGCCCUGUGGUGUUCCCUGCACCACACCCAGCUGCUGUUGGACACAAUUCUCACCGAGAAACGGGGGCUGUCGGAUACAUUUGUUACGGACCUAGGACCACGGCGCUGCCUGGGUGUAGGGGCAAGAUGCGGGCGAGCGGAGCUGCUCCUCUCCCGCAGGGAAAGCCCUGUUCCCACGUCAGAUUCCAAGGUGGUGGCCACGUGCCACGGGGGAAGCCAGAACCAGCGAAAGCGCAGACCACUGGCCACAGCCUGACCUGUCUUGGCCCUUGUGAGUGCCUCACCCGGCGAGCCUGGACUCCCCUCGGAACCACAGUCCCUGAGUUCCACACACUGGAUACUGACUUUUGAGGAAGCUUGUGGAACAGAAGGAGCACUGGCCCCAGAGGACCAACACAGAUUCCAGUCCAGGUGUGGCCUCUGACUGGCUGUGUAUCUCUGAGAAAGGCAUUUAGCCUCCCCGAGCUCUCUUAGAGUUCCUGCUUCUAAAGAGGGCAUAAGAAACCAACCUCAUAGGAUUGUCUUAUGAUUCAAGUGUGAUGAUAUGUGUGGAAACACUUUUACAACUGCAGAAAACACUUCUUCUGAUAGAAGUUAUUAUCAUUAACUAAGCAUCUGAUUUAUGAGAGCAGGGAGGGCAGUCUCCCGCAUGCCCAGAGCGUGCCACUCCCAGCCCAGGGACGGUGACUGUAACCCUUGCAUGUCAGAAUGCAAAUGAAUUGGUGAAAUUAUUAUGCAGGUCGCUUGAAUCUGUUCUAAUUUAUUGUUUAAAUAUCGUAAAAGAUAGAAUUCAGAAACAUCGAUUCUUUAUUAGGAGUGACAAAUGAUUUACCAACUGUACUAAUAUCUUGAUUCUAGGUGACAGAAAGUUGUCCCAGCUGAUUAAGCAAAGAAGGGAACUUACUUGUUAUGUAAUUAGAGUCUUGUAGUUAAAGGGUAAAGUGGCUUCAAGAGUGGUCAGAUCAGGUGCUAAAAUGAAGCUGUCGGUCCCCUGUUUCUAUGUCUCAAUUCUGUUUUCCUACGCAAGCUUCCUUCUCAGGCAGGCCCUCUCCAAGUGGUGGCAAAGGUAGCUCCCACAAGCUCCAGGAUUACAUUUUACCAGCCUAACCACCCCAUGGAAAGAGUUUGCUUCUUUCCAAAUCAUUCUAGAAGACUCUAGAAAUGGUGACUCUGGAUGGACGGAUUUGGACAUGGACCCAAGUCUGGAUAACAUGUCCUCCCCUGCAGCUGGAGUGGGGCUAGCCUUUUGCCCCUCUCCCUGUGCCACGUGGACUGACAGUGGUGGAGGAGUGGUUGACUAACAGAGAAUUGGGAUGUUGUUACCAGAAGGAGGAGGAAUGGACGCUGGCCGGCAAAACCCCAGGUUGUGGUUGCCACCCAGGAAAUGGGGCCAGCACAGAGGUAGUGCGUGCCUGGCCUGUUCCCUCCCAUUUGUCACCUUGUGUCCGCUGCAGGGCUGGACUCAGGAGCUCCUGUAUUGCGAGCCGUUUUUCAGGAAGACCUGAAUUUACACUCACUUUGGAGAGUAGCUUAGCAGCUUCUGCUGAAAUGGAAAAUGCACAUCUCAUGCCACCCAGUGGAUCCCUCCUUUGAGAAACCUUCCCACACGUGUGCAAAGAGAGAUGCGCGGGAUGUCCAAAGCAGCGUUGUUAUGCCGGUGAAACACAGGAGAUGAGCUAAAUGGUUAUAACUAGUAGAAUGGAAAGAGUGAGACAGCUUUUAAUAGGAUGGCAUAUUACUCAGCAGACAAAAGAAAUGAAUGAGAGCCGUAAGCUUCAGUGAUGAAUGUCAAAUACAUGAUUUGGGUGGAAAACAGUGA